rnacentral:rRNA from 1 species
UACGUAGGGGGCGAGCGUUGUCCGGAUUUACUGGGCGUAAAGCGCACGUAGGCGGCUUUGUAAGUUAGAGGUGAAAGCCCGGGGCUCAACUCCGGAAUUGCCUUUAAGACUGCAUCGCUAGAAUUGUGGAGAGGUAAGUGGAAUUCCGAGUGUAGAGGUGAAAUUCGUAGAUAUUCGGAAGAACACCAGUGGCGAAGGCGACUUACUGGACCAACACUGACGCUGAGGAGCGAAAGCCAGGGAGCAAACGGG